AUUGAACGCUGGCGGCAUGCCUUACACAUGCAAGUCGAACGGCAGCACGGGAGCAAUCCUGGUGGCGAGUGGCGAACGGGUGAGUAAUAUAUCGGAACGUGCCCAGUAGUGGGGGAUAGCCCGGCGAAAGCCGGAUUAAUACCGCAUACGACCUGUGGGUGAAAGCGGGGGAUCGCAAGACCUCGGGCUAUUGGAGCGGCCGAUAUCAGAUUAGCUUGUUGGUGGGGUAAAAGCCCACCAAGGCGACGAUCUGUAGCUGGUCUGAGAGGACGACCAGCCACACUGGGGCUGAGACACGGCCCAGACUCCUACGGGAGGCAGCAGUGGGGAAUUUUGGACAAUGGGCGCAAGCCUGAUCCAGCCAUGCCGCGUGUGGGAAGAAGGCCUUCGGGUUGUAACCGAACUUUUGUCUAGGGAAGAAACGGUACGUGAGUCUAAUACAUUGGCGUAAUGACGGUACCUGUAAGAAUAAGACACCGGCUAACUACGUAG
rnacentral:rRNA from 1 species